AUUAAGCUAUUUGUGCCACUGAGCCUUGUCUUCCCUGACUCUGACCUGCCUGGCCUAUUAUGGCUCAGAGGGGCCAUCUAACUCAGUAAAUUACAUUUGGAACCAUUGUCUCCUCACCUCACCCUCUUACAGCGCAAGGACUUGCCCAGAACCCUACUGACUCAGACUGGGCAUCAAACUUGAGGCUCAAUUCCAGGCUAGAACCCUCCCAUAGGCUGGGUAGGGACUCACGCUGGGCUCCUGGCAUUCCUCCUGCCUCAGCCACCCAUAUGCUAGGAUUAGAGGUGUAAGCCACCUCUCCCACAAGACAUUUCUCUAGCAGGACCAGCAGGGGAAUUAUCUAGAAAACACUGAUGAGGAUCAGAUGGUGCCACUGGUGCAUUCCAACCAACAUUUGAAGAAGAAUUAACAGCAAUGCAUCUUCAUUCCAUCAUUCAUCCUGUGAAACCAGCCUUAACCUGAAUCGGAG
rnacentral:lncRNA from 1 species